AAGUUGCUCGCCAGGGUCAAAGCUUUCGACAGGCAUUGUAAUAUGGUCUUAGAAAAUGUGAAAGAAAUGUGGACAGAAGUUCCUAAAACAGGCAAAGGAAAGAAAAAGUCCAAACCUGUGAACAAAGACAGAUACAUCUCCAAAAUGUUCCUCCGAGGAGACUCUGUGAUUCUAAUUCUGAGGAAUCCCAUGGCAACAGCAAAAUAAACGGAAUAUGUGGCCCCCGGGGGGGGUGAAGUAACAAGUACUGUCGGUGUGAACCUCAGACCAGUGUUAAUUACUGGGAUAAAACAGCCUGGCUACUGCCACAGCAGCAGAACACAAAGACUGUUCUAAGCUUGAUAACAUUAUCCAGGCUCUACUUCAGAAGUUUUAUAUAUGUGUGUACAUAGACAUGUUUUUAUUGAAAUGUUGUUACAUGUAUUUGUAAUAUUAUGUGUGCUACAUGAAAAUCAGCAAGUUCCAUUUUUCAUACAAUGUCAGUAAAUCAUCAUAAACUUAAUAAAAAAAGCUGUAAUUUCAUUAUUUCAU
rnacentral:misc_RNA from 1 species